rnacentral:rRNA from 1 species
UAGUGAGUUUGAUCCUGGCUCAGAUUGAACGCUGGCGGCAUGCCUUACGCAUGCAAGUCGAACGGUACCUUCGGGUAUAGUGGCGGACGGGUGAGUAACGCGUGAGAAUCUGUCUUCAGGUCGGGGACAACAGUUAGAAAUGACUGCUAAUACCGGAUAUGCCUAUGGGUGAAAGAUUUAUUGCCUGAAAAAAGAGCUCGCGUCAGAUUAGCUAGUAGGUGGUGUAAGAGACUACCUAGGCUUUGAUCUGUAGCUGGUCUGAGAGGACGAUCAGCCACACUGGAACUGAGACACGGUCCAGACUCCGUACGGGAGGCAGCAG